CGUGCCCAUACAUACCAACGCACACAUGCGCAUACAUACUUAGAUUGAUCCAAUCAUACCUCAAGUCAUCAACCUCGUAGAAAGGAGCGUGAAUUGCGUGUACCGAUCGGAAGGGCACCGUUUUAUCUCCUCCCCGCACGUACACCUCGAUCAUCUCUGCCAAGCACGGUCGUGAUCUGCGUUUCCUGAAACUCCCCUGCGUGUGUGUAUUCUGCGCCUUCCUCUCCGCCGCUUCGCAGUGCUUUGUUCACCUCAGCCGAGGUUUCUUCGCGUCUCUCGCUUCCUUUUCCUGCCCUUCGCUUUUGCACGGUCGCAGAGGUACAGGGAGCACUGCCGCCUGCCGAAUCGCUUUUUAUCCCCUGGUUCACUCCUGCGCCAUGGCAGCGUUUAGUCGUCUCCUCGGCGUUCAGCUGCCGUAUGUGGUGGAAGUGGUCAUUUUCCUGGCUCUCGCCUACGCCACGGCGUACGUGCUCACCAGCAUUAUGUUCGCGCGCAUUCACAAAUUCAAGAUGGCUGGUCCGCUGACGGCGAUUCCUGUUCUCGGUGGGGUUGUAACUAUGAUAAGGGACCCUUACAGUUUUUGGGAGCGACAGCGCCAAUACGAGCCGCAUGGCUACAGCUGGAUGGCCAUCCUCACGCAGUUUGUCGUCUUCGUGACGCGUGCGGACCUGUGCCACAAGAUCUUCACCACCAACGGCGAGGACACUCUUACCCUCCAGUUGCACCCCAACGGCAAGUUGAUUCUCGGCGACAACAACAUUGCCUUCCAGAGCGGCCCCGGUCACAAGGUGUUGCGCUCCAGCUUUAUGAAUCUCUUCACCACCAAGGCCCUUUCCUUGUACCUGCCGAUUCAAGAGCGCAUCAUUCACGAGCACAUGAGUCGCUGGGUGAGGGACUACCCAUGGGGCGGCAAGCCAGAAGAGAUGCGCCUGCACAUCCGCGAGCUGAACUGCGAGACCUCGCAGACAGUGUUCCUUGGCGAGCACCUGCACAACCGCACUGAGUUCACUCACAACUACAACAUCAUCACCCGAGGCUUCCUCUCUGCCCCGCUGUACCUGCCUGGCACCCCGCUGUACAAGGCGGUGCAGGCCCGCAAGCUGACUAUGGUGGAGCUUCAGGCUGCGGUGCGCCGCAGCAAGGCCCGCAUGGCGAAGCCGGACGCUGAGCCGCACUGCCUGCUCGACUUCUGGACGGCGACGGUGCUGGAGAAGAUCAAGGAGGCGGAGGAAGAGGGUGGCGACGCGCCGGCGUACUCGUCGGACCACGCCAUGGCGGACACGAUACUCGACUUCCUCUUCGCUUCACAGGAUGCAUCGACUGCCAGCCUGACGAUGAUCACAGCGACGAUGGCCGACCACCCGGAGAUUCUGGAGCGUGUCCGCAAGGAGCAGGCUCGCCUGCGCCCCAACAACGAGCCGCUCACGUAUGAACUGGUGCAGGAGAUGACGUUUACGCGCCAGUGCGUGAUGGAGCAGCUCCGCCUCUUUCCCCCGGCGCCGAUGGUGCCCAUGAAGGUCCACAGCGACUUCCAGCUGGACGAGAAGACGGUCGUGCCGAAGGGUAGCAUGAUCAUUCCGUCUCUGGUGGCGUGCUGUCGAGAGGGCUUCACGAACCCCGACACGUACGACCCUGAUCGCAUGGGCCCUGAGCGCCAGGAGGACCGCAAGUUCGCGAAGCAGUUCAUCCCAUUCGGCGUUGGUCCGCACCGCUGUGUCGGCUAUAACUACGCCAUCAACCACCUCACCGUGUACCUCGCACUCAUCGCGCACCACGUCCGGUGGCAGCGCACGCGCACUCCUGACUCCGACAAGAUUCUGUACCUACCCACCCUGUACCCCCACGAUUGUCUACAGACAUGGCGCUACCGUGAAGGGAUGGAACCCAAGGCUGAGGUGUAGAUCGAGGAGGGAGAAACGCAGGUGGGCCGCGCAUAACACGCGUCUUUUGCCACCUCAUCGUGUUCACAGCGUGCGCGUGAGCGCGUGCAUUAACUGAUGGCUGGAAGAGGCGAGAGCGCGACGAGGUUGUAGCCGCUGUGCUGCUUGCCCUCUAUUUCACGCUUCACCCUCCUCACGCGUCUAUGUCUCCGCACUGACAUCAGAAGGGGCUGAAAUAAAAAUUUCAAGACACGAUUGCGGGGGGAGGGGCGACGGUGGAAACGAUAGAGAGCAAGUAAAAACGAAAAAAAAAUCAAACAAGCCGAAAAGCCGGUCAGUCACCUCUGCGAGGACGUGGAAGUAGAAAGUGAGUACUUUCAGAUUUCUUGUUCUCCAAGCAUCAAAACAGAGAGGGCCGGAAGGCGAAGAAAAGAUCCGCUAGAGGGUUUACGUGCGUAGGAGUAGGGGGUUGUCGUAUCCGCGAUUCAUAGUCUGAAGGGGGCGGGGUUCUGUGCAGCCACUUCCCUGCGUCGCUAUGCAGUGUCUGUGGAGCCACGUAUCUAUCGCUCUUGCGUGUCCAGCGAGUCGACGUGGCCUCUCGCUCUUCGUUGUUUUCGUUUCUCUCUGCAGCGACCCCUCCCUCAUUCACGCCUCGUCUUCUCUUUCUCGCCUUAUUAGUCAUACAGUGUAUGGUCUAUCUCUUAUUGGCUUACGACUCUUGUGUCGACACAAAGUUUCUUCAUUCAUUUUAUUGCGUUGCUUUUGUUAGCGUCGCGGUGUUCCCUCCAUCGCUCCUCCUUGCUGCGUCUCUCCGCCUCUUUCCCCUUCAGUAAUCCCCGCCGUUUUUUUUUUGUUGUUUCCAUCGUUCUUUUACCAUCCGAUUUUCUCUCUUCGUUUUGCGCUUGCUUAUUUUGCAUGUCCUGUGCAUUGUGAUGUUUCUGCUGACGUCAGCGUAGGGAGCGUGUAUGACGAUUUUACGUGUGUCUCUACAUUUUGUUUUCCCCGCUUGCCGUUGCAUCUCGGACGUCGUUGCCGCCUUCGCCGCUGUCGCGCACGCACCCCCCCCUCCGGACGACUCGCUGUUUUCGCGCGAGUCACGUGUGCCGCGUGAACACGGCCCAGUGAGGCAACGUCAAGGUAGAAGAAUGUUUAGUCGAAAAUAAGAACGCAGAUGCAGAGGAAUGCAGGAAGGAAAACUAAAGUUGACGCAGGCGGUAGCGAAUUCGCUUUUAGAAUUUUACUAUGUGACGCGAAGGCAUGUAGUAUCUGGCCCCAGAGGAAAAAGCAAGAGAAGCACGAAAAUGGAAGGAGAAGCGUAGGAUGCGCUAGCGACUUCUACCAGUGAUGGAGGGAAAAGGGAGUCAGUGGCCUCAGCGCUGUGGAAAACCCAUCUGGUGCGCUCGUCUUUCGCCGAUGUGGCACGCGGUCUCGGGCGACGUGGCCUACUUCCCCAUUCUCACGGAUAUCCACCGCCGCAGCGCCCUUUGUGUGGCUUGUGGGUCCCUGGUGCUUAUCU
rnacentral:misc_RNA from 1 species